rnacentral:rRNA from 1 species
AAUCAACGCUGGCGGCGUGCCUAACACAUGCAAGUCGAGCGCGAAAGCGGGGCAACUCGCAAGUAGAGCGGCGAACGGGUGAGUAACACGUGGGUGAUCUGCCUCCGAGUGGGGAACAACAGCGGGAAACUGCUGCUAAUACCGCAUGACAUCAUCGAGUCACAUCGAUGAUCAAAGCCGGGACCGCAAGGCCUGGCGCUUGGAGAGGAGCCCGCGUCCGAUUAGCUAGUUGGCGGGGUAAUGGCCCACCAAGGCUUCGAUCGGUAGCCGGCCUGAGAGGGCGGACGGCCACACUGGGACUGAGACACGGCCCAGACUCCUACGGGAGGCAGCAGUGGGGAAUUUUUCGCAAUGGGGAAACCCUGACGAAGCAACGCCGCGUGGGGGAUGAAGGUCUUCGGAUCGUAAACCCCUCGUCGAUCGGGACGAAAGCCACCCGGCCUAAUACGCCGGUGUGUUGACUGUACCGGUGGAGGAAGCCACGGCUAACUCUGUGCC